rnacentral:rRNA from 1 species
UACGUAGGGUGCAAGCGUUACUCGGAAUUACUGGGCGUAAAGCGUGCGUAGGUGGUGAGUUAAGUCUGUCGUGAAAGCCCCGGGCUCAACCUGGGAAUGGCGAUGGAUACUGGCUCGCUAGAGUGCGGUAGAGGGUGGUGGAAUUCCCGGUGUAGCAGUGAAAUGCGUAGAGAUCGGGAGGAACAUCAGUUGCGAAGGCGGCCACCUGGACCAGCACUGACACUGAGGCACGAAAGCGUGGGGAGCAAACAGG